rnacentral:rRNA from 1 species
GAUGAACGCUGGCGGCGUGCCUAAUACAUGCAAGUCGAGCGAACAGAUGAGGAGCUUGCUCCUCUGACGUUAGCGGCGGACGGGUGAGUAACACGUGGAUAACCUACCUAUAAGACUGGGAUAACUUCGGGAAACCGGAGCUAAUACCGGAUAAUAUAUUGAACCGCAUGGUUCAAUAGUGAAAGACGGUUUUGCUGUCACUUAUAGAUGGAUCCGCGCCGCAUUAGCUAGUUGGUAAGGUAACGGCUUACCAAGGCAACGAUGCGUAGCCGACCUGAGAGGGUGAUCGGCCACACUGGAACUGAGCCACGGUCCAGACUCCUCCGGGAGGCAGCAGUAGGGAAUCUUCCGCAAUGGGCGAAAGCCUGACGGAGCAACGCCGCGUGAGUGAUGAAGGUCUUCGGAUCGUAAAACUCUGUUAUUAGGGAAGAACAAAUGUGUAAGUAACUAUGCACGUCUUGACGGUACCUAAUCAGAAAGCCACGGCUAACUACGUG